UACGGGGGAGCAAGCGUUGUUCGGAUUUACUGGGCGUAAAGGGCGCGUAGGCGGCCACCGCAAGUCGGUUGUGAAAUCUCUGGGCUUAACCCAGAAAGGUCAAUCGAUACUGCGGGGCUAGAGUGCAGAAGGGGCAACUGGAAUUCUCGGUGUAGCGGUGAAAUGCGUAGAUAUCGAGAGGAACACCUGCGGCGAAGGCGGGUUGCUGGGCUGACACUGACGCUGAAGCGCGAAAGCUAGGGGAGCGAACGGG
rnacentral:rRNA from 1 species